UAAUCAGAAUUCCAAAUCUCUCAAUGAUCCCAAACCUUGAGAGUUUGAUUCUAGAAGGUUGUAUAAGUUUGAUUGAAGUUGAUCCGUCAAUUCAAUAUCUAAAAAAGUUGAAUAAGUUGAAUCUUAAAGGUUGCAAAAGCCUUAGAAUUCUUUCCAUGGACAUUCAAUCAAAAUUUCUUACAGAACUUAUGCUCUCUGGUUGCUCAAGUCUCGAGAUUGCUCCAACCAUCACGUGUAACAUGAUUGAAGUCUAUUUAGAUGGAACAUCUAUAACAAAAUUGCCUCGCAUCGAACGUCCAUCAAGCCUAUUCCUCUUGGAUCUUGCAUUCUGUCCAAGGCUUGAAAGUCUCCCCCGCGACAUUUGUGAGUUGAAGACUCUUAUGUACCUUGAUCUCACACCUUCCUCAAACCUCCAUAGAUUCCUCAACAACUUAGGACAAUUAGAAGAUUUGGAGGCACCCAAUCUAAUUAUACUGGCACAAGAGAACUACCACAUGCCAUAUCAUCUUUGAACGGUCUUCAGAGGUUACCCUUAGGUGAACCUAUUCCAAUCACGAGGUUUCGCGACUGUGUUGGCACAAUUUUUUGUCUGAUCGCCAACAAUUUAUUGUCUUCGACCAAUAUGGUAAGACAGAGGUGAGGGACGAGAGUGCCGACUUGGAUAUGUUUCAAUGCUACAGUGUUAUGUCAGAUAAUGUAUUACUGACACAUAUCGAUGAACCUCAGUUGGUCAGAAAAGAAAUCCGGUAUGUUCCUUCUGAUUUCAGUGGAGAAAAUUACAAUGUAAAGAAGUGUGGCCUUAAGAUAUAUUUCCACGAUGGUAUUGAUGGACAAGUGAAACAAUACGAAGGAGAUUUCAGUUUAAACGUGGAGGAGGAACCACAACCCAAAUGACAGAAAUUUGAUGUCUCCACCACUCUCAGUCUCUAACGAAAUUGCAAUCUGCUUGACUGGUGCAAAACUUUUCCCUCUGACAAUAGUUUCAUGCUCAGACCCAUUUUACGAAAAACCUCUCCUCAUUGCUUAUGGUUUCCAAGUCAGAGGAGAGCUCUGCUGGGUCAAGAUUUUCCUGUACUUUCGCUAAAGCCACCUCUGCCAUUCUCAAUUUCAGUGAGCGACAUGGAUCGCAAUUUCUUUUUUGUUUUAUCUUUAGAGUGGUGGUGGUGGUGAUUUGCCUGUGGGUGGCGGCUGUACAUAGUGGUUUGUGAUGGGUGGGGUUUAGUUUCUUGAUGAACGGCGGUGUUUUGUGGUGGCUGUGCGGUGGGAGGCUACGAUUUGCAGUUGUGGUGGGUAGGAUGUUUUUGGAAGGGUGGGUCAAUAAUACUACUACCUUCUCUCACAAUCCCACGUGCUGCCACUUCAAUUGCCACGUCACUUCCCAAAAUUAAAAAAAAAAAAAAAAAUUCAUACCCUAAAAUUCAAAUCCACAUGUUAAGGGCUAUCGUCUUCCACCACCACUCACCACCGUCAUUCUCUCUUCCUCUUCCACUACCGUUCAAUCCUGUACAAAACCCACACGUUUCGGGCUUCGACCCCCACCAGCGCCAUCUGUCCGCUACCGCUACCACCACCACCGCCGGCUGUCCUCUUCCAACACCAGUGGAACCAGUACAUGGACAAAGAGCUCCGUGAUGCUUAUUAUUACAACUGGCCUGUCUACUUCCCUUAGGCUUUUCUGUUAAAUAAGCACGCUUUUGUUAUUGUUAUAUUGGACAAUGAGACUCUACCCUGAAGACAAAAGUUGGGGUUAACAAGCCAGAAUUGCUUCCUGAAGUAUUCACUCCUGCAAUUGAUGUGGCUGGGUUCCUAUCCGAUGGGCAGGCUACAGAUUAACCAGUAAGGGUAGUCACGGAAGAUACUGUUGGAAUUAAUUAGUCUUCAUACACUAAGUCUGAACUUGGUGUUGGUGUUGCAUCAAAGUACCAAAGAUGGAAGAGUGCAGUAAAAAAAAUCAGAGAACUCUUAUUCUCAUUUCAAUGUUGUCGAGUUUGCUGGAUUCAAUCCUUUGGAAAGGUCCCUGUAUUUUGGGCCCUCCUUCGAUUUGGGGCAGGUCAGUCAAUGCAGAUUUUCUAUUUUUGCGGGAAAUCAGUUUGACCGAUUUGUGGAGGUGGAUAAGAAAAGACGGCGUGCAAAGCUUGUAAAUAUUUCAUCAAAAAAGUUCGAAGAAUAAUUUUCCUUCAUUCAGGCUACUUAGAUGAUUUAUACUGAUCUCCAGUGCACCUCCUGCAUUAAUUUGAUGGUUGCUGGUUUUUAUUUUCGAUCUCCGACCAGAAGAGUUUUACUUUGUACACAAUUAAUGUUUUCUUGUGUAUGGCAACGGAAUUUUCCUGAGCGAGAGGCAUUUAAUGUGCAAGAUGGAACGAAAAGCAGGACAUUGAGGCAGGGCUUCAUUUGCUUCAAGUGAGAACUUGGAGGGUUACUUUUAUUAUUCUUCAAACCUUUGAAGAUCUUAUACUCAGGAUAUGUUUUUCUACUUGUACGCUUGAAUUACUUUAAGAAAAUUUUGAUGCAAGGCACAACAAAUGAGAGACAGUUCUGCUUUUUGAUUAGUGUUUACUCACAUUGUAGAGUCUCACCCAUUUUUUGUUGAACCUGUGGGAGUGACUUAUCAGUUUUUAGAAUAUUUUAUACUUCACAUAAUUCAUAACUGCUCCAAAGUGAUGAUAUGCUUAUAAGUUAUGCUACAAUUUAGAUUUUGAGGUAUAAUUUGAUUACGAUUUCCCAGAGAAUAAUAAAAUAAUUUCUGAAAUUAAAUCAGAAAUGAUAUAACAAAUAUUCUUUGUAGUGUUGGUGUGUAAUGUACCAGUCCGGCAGGUCAGAGAAAAAAAUCCUCUCCUGAUUUUUACUUCCAGUUAAGGCCAACUACAGACUAUCGUUAAGUAACUAGAUAAAAUAAUAAAAUUCCUGUGAUCUGCUCGGGGACUUAGUGGACCGAUAAUUCUUCGACUAUCUGCUUGGGGCGCCCGUGAUCUGUUCAGAUGAGGUUACAAAGGUAAAGAUAACUAUUUUUUUCGGUGACUAUAACAUUUAUAUUCUUUAGCUUUUGAACUUACUGGUAUUUGGAUGCAGGAUACUUAUAGUGGAUUUUGUACCUGAAUUACAUAUAAAAGAUAUGAAGUCAAUUCUUCGUAAGCACAAGAAACAGUUUGUGGUAAUUCUUUGUCCUCGUUUAAUUCUUAUUCCAGAAAUAGAUAACAGUACCAUUAUUUUCUUAAUCAGGCAAUGGUGUAUUAUUGUUGCUGCCUUGCUGCUGAGAUUUAUGAUGGUUAAAGAAAAAUCCCAUUUUAUAUAUGGAUUUUCAUAUAAACAAGUAAGUUUGGUCAUUUAAGUAACCUUAUAGUCAUACAAGGAUAGUUUUGGUGUUUGAAUUGAUCUCUCUGGGACAGUAAUGCGGUGACAUCAAUAUGCUUACUACUACAUAAUAGCAUUCUGCUUAGUUGUUUUUGAAUUGAUAAUUUCUUGCUUUUAAUCACUCUCUACAGAAGCAAAAAGUGAUCAAUUCAUGUCCUUGUGAAUUUAGCCUUGUGAAAAGAUUCUGGAAAUAUAUAUUGGACCGUGAGGGUUUAUGUGGAGAUACCUUGUGGGCUUCCAUUUCAAACAACUCUUUAAUUUCCAUUGCUCAUCUUCUAAAGCAUUGUACAUUUGAAGUGACUGGGAAGGUAGGAGCCGUUACUUAUUGAAAAUUUAUUUCUGAUAAGGGGCCAAUCUAAGGAUGAGUUCGUCACUGCUGGUGGUGUUCCA